rnacentral:rRNA from 2 species
AAAUAGAACUUUGCAGAGAGAGUUAACAGGGCGUGAAACCGUUAAUUGGCAAACGAAUCGGAGCCACGAAGUCGUUUCGUUGUUUAGUUGGGUCAGGUUCAGCGGGCGUCGCAAGGCGCCCGUGUACUCCUAGAUCCGUCCAAACCUUGUAAGCGUACACUGCAACCAGUUAGACGAUCAGAGAUGGGCACAGUGUCUCGGGCUAGUAGUAGUGCGGUUGGGCUUCGGCUUUUCUCGUGUUGCUGGGCUCGUGGCAAGUGAACUAUCACUGAAUACUGACUGGCUAAAUGAAAAUCGCGCUAGUCGCGUUAGAGACAACGCUAUUGGCCGCAUUUGUGUCUACACGUUCGACUGUUGAGUCUAAGCUCGGCGCUCUCGAAUUCAGACUUGCUUGCUAUCAGUGGGGCAACUCCUGGUGCUUGUAUAGUUUCUGUCUAAUCGGGCGUCGACUUGGCUUGGCAUUGUUCGUGGCGUGCAUCGUUAGGAUGCGAAUGCGAGCUAACAAGCAAUGUGAAUUGGCAGUGAGUAGGUCGGCUUUCCGAACGACCCGUCUUGAAACACGGACCAAGGAGUCUAAUUAGGCAUCGAGUCGAUCGGUCUUGAAUAGGCCAGACAGGGCCCCCUGGCUCGAGAAGGCGUAGAGAUCGUGUGAUCGUGGUGGUAACAACAACCAUUGCGCGCAACAUGUGCCUGUUCGUAUAGCAAUGUUGCAUUGCUGGGCGGAGCAAAGAGAUGCCUGAUUGGGACCCGAAAGAUGGUGAUGCUUGGGCAAAUUGAAGCCAGAGGAAACUCUGGUGGAGGAUUUAGUCUGACGUGCAAAUCGAUCGUCAGACCUGAGUAUAGGGGCGAAAGACUAAUCGAACCAUC